UACGGGGAGGGCAAGCGUUGUUCGGAAUUACUGGGCGUAAAGGGCUCGUAGGCGGCCAACUAAGUCGGACGUGAAAUCCCCAGGCUCAACCUGGGGACUGCGUCCGAUACUGGAUGGCUUGAAUCCGGGAGAGGGAUGCAGAAUUCCAGGUGUAGCGGUGAAAUGCGUAGAUAUCUGGAGGAAUACCGGUGGCGAAGGCGGCAUCCUGGACCGGCAUUGACGCUGAGGAGCGAAAGCCAGGGGAGCAAACGGG
rnacentral:rRNA from 1 species